UCAAAAAUAAAAUCUCCAUAGAAUCAUAGAAAGUUGAAUAGGUUGGCUUAACAAACCAACUUUUAUAGCAAACUCCAAACUUUGCAUGGUUUUCAGUUUUCACCUCCACACCCUCGAGUCAUGAGAAUCAAAUCAAAAUGAAAACCUUAUUCCAGAAAAUGUCAAAUUACUACUUUGCCAUCUAAAGCCUAUCGAAAUGACUAGUUUGCCCUUCAUCAUUUUAGAGAAACAAACUCAAAACUUGUUGAAUAAAAGUUGACAAUAAUACACUUGCCUUGCCUUCUGCCUAUUCAAAGAUUUCCCAAACUGAGUUACAGUUAGAAGCAUUGCCGACAACUUCAUAUGUUACAUAGAUCCACAGAAACUAGGGAAAGUAUGUCAUUGAACAUUCCAAUUGCUCUUGAUUCUUUGCUGGUUCCGGAAGGACGACAUACUCUUGACAUAUUUACAUCUUCUAACUUGGAAGAUUGGAAGAAUGUUCUACCACAUGCAUAUCAUGAAAUGGAGGAGGAGUUUAUGGCUGAAAAUUUCUAUUCCCUUGGACGCAACUAAUCUAUCAUCUUUAAGGAGUGGGAUAUAUUUGUUCACAUCCAAAAUCCAUCACCAGUUCCUCCAUCAUGCAUGUGCUAGCUAUGGCGUGAGAUAAAGAGUGGAAGUUAAGAUGUUUUCUCUAAUUAUUUGAUGUAUUCGGUACUGUUGCUUUGUCUUGUAAUGAACUUCGUGGUGAGCAUACUGCAUUUUUUUGUGAGUUUCAUUGCAAAUCCCGCAUAUUAAUCUUUUUACAGUAUCAAAUUACGCUGAUAAAAUGUUAGGAGUUAGGUCAUAGUAGUGUUUAUUCAAACUAUUAAUUGAUUAAGCUCUCGCAGGUAACCUUUUGUUUCAUGGACGUUAUUGCUUACUGAAUUCUGCCUCUCAGCACUGAAUUUUUCCAGAGGAGUUUGAAAAAUUUAUGGAACUCUUACAGGGUAACCUAAUUUAUCAGAAAUUAUGGCGAACGUUUCCCUCUGUUCAUCUGAUGUUGCUUGGAUGUGCAAAUAUGGAUAUACUUUUUGAGCACGUAUUUUUAUCCUUUUCUCUUUUCAGGUUUGGACGAUCUAAUACUUCUAUGAGUGCUGUCGUGCAAGUCAAACUUCUUUAGAAAGUUUGGAUCAUCUAAAUAAUUUAUGAAUUGUUCGUAGCAUGAGCUUAUGACUUUUGUGAUGUUUUGAAAAUACACUGUCAAAGACAGCAAGGAGCUAUCAUUGUUUUAGAGUAAUACACAUAAUCUAUUCUACCUAAAUUUAAGGUUUAAGAUGAACUGGUACAAAUUGCACUCUGAUAUGUCGAUUUCUCGCUUUAUCAAAUGUUGAAUUUGCAAAUUGUUGUGGUCGUUCCUAUUACAAAUAUUGGCUGGGUUUAUUUAUAUUCCUAGUGAUCUUUUAGGAAGAAAUACUUAACAUUAAGGCAAUAGCUGAUGUACUAGAUAACUCAAUUAGAUUUGUUACCAAAAUGUUGCUUUCAACUAAUACUUAUCUAUUUUCCCUUUUAUAUGAGAAUUACAACUAUAUGCUAUUCCGUGAAGCACCAGGGAAGAAAAGGCCAGAGCUCAUGUAUGAGAUAGUGCUACUAUAACUCGAACCAUUUUUCGAAAGACAUGACUUAAAAUAAAGGUGGAGAAAGUUUGUUGUGGCUCAAGUUGGAUGGUUCUGGGCUUGGGUGAUCACUCCAGUUACUUUAAAUUUGUGAGAAAUGGUAUCAGACUGAUUACAACACAGACUGGUGUAAAGAGAACAACUUACAGAUUCAUCCAUCUUCUGCGCUAAAAGCAAAUGAGGACGAGAUGCUUCUAACUAUGUCGUCUAUCAUGAAGUAAUGGUUAUAUCACAUUCAUUUAUGCAUAAUGUAUGUGUAGUUGAGAUACCAUUGUUCAUGCCAAUCUUAGCGGAGCUUGAGAAACUAAAUGUAUUUAAACUUGAGGGGAAAUACCAUAUGCUUGAGAAUUGAGGUAAUUUACCUCUAUUAUCCUUUCUAUUUUGCUUGAGCAUUUCUUGUGCAUAACACAGUGGGGGAUUCAGCCAGCCUGAUAAGCAAAUUCAAGAAGUAAUUUCAAACGUGGAAAAGAAAGAAACCAUAACAACUCAGCCACUGGAAGAUCAUGAAUUCGUGAUUGGUCUAUAUGUGCAUGACCCGUCUCUACUGCAAAUUUUCGCUGCUCGGAUGGAACGAUAGUGUCAACCAUGUCUUAAGCUUUAAGCUUUAUGACGGGGAGGACGCUAUUCUCCUGCUUGAUGUAAAAAUCUUGCCUAUGUGAUUCAUUAGUCGCGCCAAUCGGUGUGUCUAAAGAAUGGUCAGGUGAAUUCUUGAUUUCAACUUCUACAAAGAAGAGAGAAGCAAUUGAAUGUUUUAAAUGUUUCAGAAGCUGCUUUCAGUGCUCAACCUAAUCUUUCUGAAGACCUUUACAGAUGGUUUCCCAUUUGCUUUUCUUAAGGGCUGCAAAGUCUGGGAAUCAGUUGAUUUACUUUGUGAAAUUUCAGUCCGCAAUGAGAAAAUGAGAAUGAGCGGAAGAAUGUAAUUUCAUCAGACUAUUUCUGCAUUUGGACAGCUUAGGUAAACAUAUAAUAUGAUUAGUUCAUCAAAGAUAAGGAAGGAUAAUCUUCAAAGAGUGCCAUAUUUUCAAGUCUGUUCUGCUUAAAACCGACUUUAAAAGCUGUAAAC